rfam:Manacus vitellinus contig34402, whole genome shotgun sequence.
UGCAAAUGAUGAUCACUUUUUGCUGCUAAACACACGUGAUGACAAACCACCAAGAUCGCUGAUGCA